rnacentral:misc_RNA from 1 species
GAAAUGCGAUAAGUAAUGUGAAUUGCAGAAUUCAGUGAAUCAUCGAAUCUUUGAACGCACCUUGCACUCCUUGGUAUUCCGAGGAGUAUGCCUGUUUGAGUGUCAUUAAAUUCUCAAACCUCAAUGGCUUUAUUGACAUUGAGGCUUUGGAUGUGGGGGUUGCUGGACUCUAACGAGCUCAGCUCUCCUUAAAUGCAUUAGUGGUUACUGUUUCCCACUUCCUGGUGUGAUAAUAUCUACGCCUAGUGGGAAUGUUAAGUGUAGCUGCUUUCGAACCGUCCAUGAAAUGUGGACAACUUGAACCAUUUGACCUCAAAUCAGGUAGGACUACCCGCUGAACUUAA